rnacentral:rRNA from 1 species
AUUGAACGCUGGCGGCAUGCCUUACACAUGCAAGUCGAACGGCAGCACGGGAGCAAUCCUGGUGGCGAGUGGCGAACGGGUGAGUAAUAUAUCGGAACGUGCCCAGUCGUGGGGGAUAACGUAGCGAAAGCUACGCUAAUACCGCAUACGAUCUACGGAUGAAAGCGGGGGAUCGCAAGACCUCGCGCGAUUGGAGCGGCCGAUAUCAGAUUAGCUAGUUGGUGGGGUAAAAGCUCACCAAGGCGACGAUCUGUAGCUGGUCUGAGAGGACGACCAGCCACACUGGAACUGAGACACGGUCCAGACUCCUACGGGAGGCAGCAGUGGGGAAUUUUGGACAAUGGGCGCAAGCCUGAUCCAGCAAUGCCGCGUGCAGGAUGAAGGCCUUCGGUUGUAAACUGCUUUGUUACGGAACGAAACGGUAGAGCUCUAAUAAAGACUUGCUAAUGACGGUACCGUAAGAAUAAGACACCGGCUAACUACGUGCC